rnacentral:lncRNA from 1 species
CUUCCUCCAUCCCUCCUCCCUCCUCUUUCUUCCCUUCCUCUAUCCCUCCCCUUUCCUCCCACGGGUGGUUGUUGUCCUUGAUCUUUUUUGGCCUUCCUGUGACAUCGGGUGGUGUAGGUGUCCUGGAGGGCAGGUAGUUUGCCCCCGGUAAUGUGUUGUGUAGACCGCACCACCCUCUGGAGAGCCCUGCGGUUGUGGGCGGUGCAGUUGCCGUACCAGGCGGUGAUACAGCCCGACAGGAUGCUCUCAAUUGUGCAUCUGUAGAAGUAUGUGAGGGUUUUAGGUGCCAAGUCAAAUUUAUUCAGCCUCCUAAGGUUGAAGAGGCGCUGUUACUUUACUGUGCCUGCCAUGGGGAAGUGUCUGAAAUGUAUUGGAUCUGGAGAUAAUAUUGAGGCACUGUGUUUGUAUUUUAGGCUGACAAGGAGAACUGGAUUAAAAUAGUAAUAAUAUAACAUUAUUAUUAGGUUGGCUAGGGGGGUUAGGGGUCAUUUAAGGUUGGUUAGGGGUUAGGGGUCAUUUAAGGGGUCUCUCACGUCACCCCGCUCCUCCGCUCUCUCCACUGGCUUCCAGUCGAAGCUCGCAUCCGCUACAAGACCAUGGUGCUUGCCUACGGAGCUGUGAGGCGAACGGCACCUCCGUACCUUCAGGCUCUGAUCAGGCCCUACACCCAAACAAGGGCACUCCGUUCAUCCACCUCUGGCCUGCUCGCCUCCCUACCUCUGAGGAAGCACAGUUCCCGCUCAGCCCAGUCAAAACUGUUCGCUGCUCUGGCACCCCAAUGGUGGAACAAGCUCCCUCACGACACCAGGACAGCGGAGUCAAUCACCACCUUCCGGAGUCACCUGAAACCCCACCUCUUCAAGGAAUACCUGGGAUAGGAUAAAGUAAUCCUUCUAACCCCCCCCUUAAAAGAUUUAGAUGCACUAUUGUAAAGUGGUUGUUCCACUGGAUAUUAUAAGGUGAAUGCACCAAUUUCUAAGUCGCUCUGGAUAAGAGCGUCUGCUAAAUGACUUAAAUGUAAAUGUUAAGGCUGGUUAGGGGGUUAGGGGUCAUUUAAGGCUGGUUAGGGGGUUAGGGGUCAUUUAAGGUUGGUUAGGGGUCAUUUAAGGUUGGUUAGGGGGUUAGGGGUCAUUUAAGGUUGGUUAGGGGGUUAGGGGUCAUUUAAGGUUGGUUAGGGGUCAUUUAAGGUUGGUUAGGGGGUUAGGGGUCAUUUAAGGUUGGUUGGGGGUAAUUUAAGGUUGGUUAGGGGGUUAGGGGUCAUUUAAGGCUGGUUAGGGGGUUAGGGGUAAUUUAAGGUUGGUUGGGGGUAAUUUAAGGUUGGUUAGGGGUUAGGGGUAAUUUAAGGCUGGUUAGGGGGUUAGGGGUCAUUUAAGGCUGGUUAGGGGUCAUUUAAGGCUGGUUAGGGGGUUAGGGGUCAUUUAAGGCUGGUUAGGGGUCAUUUAAGGCUGGUUAGGGGGUUAGGGAUCAUUUAAGGUUGGUUAGGGGUCAUUUAAGGCUGGUUAGGGGUCAUUUAAGGCUGGUUAGGGGGUUAGUGUAACUUACUUAGGGUUCGGUUACUCAGCUAGAAUUAGGGCUGUAUUCAAUCUGGAUGGCUGAAACAUUACAGGCCGUGUGAUAGAAAUGUAAAGGUCAUUUCCCAUUGGAGAGCUGACAUAUGCAGCGCUGACCGUGAAUCUCUGCUAAUACAGGAACGUUGCCUUUACAUUUCUAUCAGCUGGUUGAACAUCAGCCAUACGGAUUGAAUAGAGCCCUUAGAGUCGGGAGGACCUUUUGGGUGGGUUAUUACUAGAGCUCAGAGUUUAUCCCGGUUUAGGGUCAGGGCUCUAAACGUUCUACAGAACUGUUACAGACUUCUAAACUACCGGUACUGUCGACUCAGCAGAGAAAUGAAGAGCUCUUCUGUCACAAAGUAGAUGUUAAUAUUGGAGAUGAUAUUUGAUCAUGUUUUAUAACCUGUAGCAGUAGAGAUGGGGAUUUCCUGUUAAAGGUCAACUUUGGACACGAAAAAUAGUCCAAAUCCGCAUCUUUCCCAAUUUUUCAAACGUAAAUGGGGUGUGCCUUUGGUGUUACAUCAGGGUCAUUCUAGUCACAUGACCAACGCGCAGUUGAAGUAGGAAGUUUACAUACACCUCAGCCAAACACAUUUACACUCAGUUUUUCACAAUUCCUGACAUUUUAAUCCUAAUAAAAAUUCCCUGUCUUAGGUCAGUUAGGAUCACCACUUUAUUUUAAGAAUGUGAAAUGUCAGAAUAAUAGUAGAGAGAAUGAUUUAUUUCAGCUUUUAUUUCUUUCAUUACAUUCCCCGUGGGUCAGAAGUUUACAUACACUCAAUUAGUAUUUGGUAGCAUUGCCUUUAAAUUGUUUACCUUGGGUCAAACGUUUCGGGUAGCCUUCCACAAGCUUCCCACAAUAAGUUGGGUGAAUUUUGGCCCAUUCCUCCUGACAGAGCUGGUGUAACUGAGUCAGGUUUGUAGGCCUCCUUGCACGCACACACUUUUUCAGUUAUGCCCACAGAUUUUCUAUAGGAUUGAGGUCAGGGCUUUGUGAUGGACACUCCAAUACCUUGACUUUGUUGUCAUUAAGGCAUUUUGCAACAACUUUGGAAGUAUGCUUGGGGUCAUUGUCCAUUUGGAAGACCCAUUUGAGACCAAGCUUUAACUUCCUGACUGAUGUCUUGAGAUGUUGCUUCAAUAUAUCCACAUAAUUUUCCAGCCUCGUGAUGCCAUCUAUUUUGUGAAGUGCACCAGUCCCUCCUGCAGCAAAGCACCCCCCACAACAUGAUGCUGCCACCCCCGUGCUUCACGGUUGGGAUGGUGUUCUUCGGCUUGCAAGCCUCCCCCUUUUUCCACCAAACAUAACGAUGGUCAUUAUGGCCAAACAGUUCUAUUUUUGUUUCAUCAGACCAGAGGACAUUUCUCCAAAAAGUACGAUCUUUGUCCCCAUGUGCAGUUGCAAACCGUUGUCUGGCUUUUUUAAUGGCGGUUUUGGAGCAGUGGCUUCUUCCUUGCUGAGCGGCCUUUCAGGUUAUGUCGAAAUAGUACUCGUUUUACUGUGGAUAUAGAUACUUUUGUACCUGUUUCCUCCAGCAUCUUCACAAGGUCCUUUGCUGUUGUUCUGGGAUUGAUUUGCACUUUUCACACCAAAGUACGUACAUCUCUAGGAGACAGAACGCGUCUCCUUCCUGAGCGGUAUGACGGCUGCGUGGUCCCAUGGUGUUUAUACUUGCGUACUAUUGUUUGUACAGAUGAACGUGGUACCUUCAGGCGUUUGGAAAUUGCUCCCAAGGAUGAACCAGACUUGUGGAGGUCUAGAAUUUUUUUUCUGAGGUCUUGGCUGAUUUCUUUUGAUUUUCCCAUGAUGUCAAGCAAAGAGACACUGAGUUUGAAGGUAGGCCUUGAAAUACAUCCACAGGUACACCUCCAAUUGACUCAAAUGAUGUCAAUUAGCCUAUCAGAAGCUUCUAAAGCCAUGACAUCAUUUUCUGGAAUUUUCCAAGCUGUUUAAAGGCACAGUCAACUUAGUGUAUGUAAACUUCUGACCCACUGGAAUUGUGAUACAGGGAAUUAUAAGUGAAAUAAUCUCUCUGUAAACAAUUGUUGGAAAAAUUACUUGUGUCAUGCACAAAGUAGAUGUCCUAACCGACUUUCCAAAACUAUAGUUUGUUAACAAGAAAUUUGUGGAGUGGUUGAAAAACAAGUUUUAAUGACUCCAACCUAAGUGUAUGUAAACUUCGACUUCAACUGUAGCUCGUUCAUUAGCUAUGAAAGCCACUGUAGCUAGUUUGUUAGCUAAGAUAGCCACUGUAGCUAAUUCGUUAGCUAAGCUAGCCACUGUAGCUAAUUCGUUAGCUAAGCUAGCCACUGUAGCUAGUUCGUUAGCUAAGCCAUCCACUGUACUUAGUUUGUUAGCUAAGCCAGCCACUGUAGCUAGUUUGUUAGCUAAGCUAGCCACUGUAUCUAGUUCGUUAGCUAAGCUAGCCACUGUAGCUAGUUUGUUAGCUAAGCUAGCCACUAGAGCUAGUUCAUUAGCUAAGCCAUCCACUGUAGCUAGUUUGUUUGCUAAGCCAGCCACUAUAGCUAGUUUGUUAGCAAAGCUAGCCACUGUAGCUAGCCAGUAACUCCUCCAGUAUGUGUUGACAUCAUUUCACAGGAUUUGUUUUUGGAGAUCGGAAAGAAAUGGCACUUCUGUAGCCAAAUAUCUUAUUUAACCAUUUUAAGCAAUAAAUGACCAUGUAUGGUGGUGCAUUGAUCAGUUAUACUGUUUAAAAUACAUAAUUUUUGCGCUUUUGCCCAGAAUCGACCUUCAAAUGUAUUGGCAGAGAUGUCCAGCAGGGUAGACUGGAGGGGAUGGGAGGUGAGUUGGUAAUGAAAUACUAAACUUGAUGACAAAUAAAUACUUUUAAAGAAACGCACAAAUGGAAAAACAUCUCAAAUAACAGUUUAAUAAAGUUCCUUCAACAUGUCUGUUGAUAACAGCCCUGUUUCAUCCUAUGACAUUACAUACAUCCCCGUUUCAUCCUAUGAUGUUAUAUACAUCCUUUAAGUGAAAUAAAAGGCAAUGUUGAAUAACAUAAAGCAUUUGUGAUUGAUAUACAUUCUUGUCUGUAUGUAUCAGUGCAUUUGGAAAGUAUUCAGACCCCUUCACUUUUUCCA